rnacentral:rRNA from 1 species
AUUGAACGCUGGCGGCAGGUCUAACACAUGCAAGUCGAGCGGAGCGGCGGACGGGUGAGUAAUGCCUAUGAAUCUGCCUGGUGGUUGGGGAUAACGUCCGGAAACGGGCGCUAAUACCGCAUACUAUCAGAUGAGCCUAGGUCGGAUUAGGUAGUGGGUGGGGUAAAGGCCUACCAAGGCGACGAUCCGGAACUGGUCUGAGAGGAUGAUCAGUAACACUGGAACUGAGACACGGCCCAGACUCCUACGGGAGGCAGCAGUGGGGAAUAUUGGACAAUGGGCGAAAGCCUGACCCAGCCAUGCCGCGUGUGUGAAGAAGGUCUUCGGAUUGUAAAGCACUUUAAGUUGGGAGGCGUUACCAACAGAAUAAGCACCGGCUAACUUCGUGCCAGCAGCCGCGGUAAUAC